GGCAGGUGUGAAGGUAGUGAGUUAUCUCACUUGAUUAUUCAUAGUCAGUUAUAGAUUGAACUCCCUGUUCUAAUCUUUCCCCUCUUCUCACUACUGCACUUGACUAGUCUUAA
rnacentral:Y_RNA from 1 species